UUACGACCCUAUCACGUUGAAACACCGGUUCUUGUACGAUCACCGAAGUUAAGCAACGUCGAGCCUGGUCAGUACCUAGAUGGGUGACUUCUUGGGAAUACUAGGUGCUGUAAG
rnacentral:rRNA from 1 species